rnacentral:rRNA from 1 species
AGUGAACGCUGGCGGUAGGCCUAACACAUGCAAGUCGAACGGCAGCACGGGAGAGCUUGCUCUCUGGGUGGCGAGUGGCGGACGGGUGAGGAAUACAUCGGAAUCUACUCUGUCGUGGGGGAUAACGUAGGGAAACUUACGCUAAUACCGCAUACGACCUACGGGUGAAAGCAGGGGACCUUCGGGCCUUGCGCGAUUGAAUGAGCCGAUGUCGGAUUAGCUAGUUGGCGGGGUAAAGGCCCACCAAGGCGACGAUCCGUAGCUGGUCUGAGAGGAUGAUCAGCCACACUGGAACUGAGACACGGUCCAGACUCCUACGGGAGGCAGCAGUGGGGAAUAUUGGACAAUGGGCGCAAGCCUGAUCCAGCCAUACCGCGUGGGUGAAGAAGGCCUUCGGGUUGUAAAGCCCUUUUGUUGGGAAAGAAAUCCAGCUGGCUAAUACCCGGUUGGAAUGACGGUACCCAAAGAAUAAGCACCGGCUAACUUCGUGCCAGCCGCCGCUGUAA